GCAUAUCAAUAAGCGGAGGAAAAGAAACCAACAGGGAUUGCCCUAGUAACGGCGAGUGAAGCGGCAUCAGCUCAAAUUUGAAAUCUGGCUCUUUCAGGGUCCGAGUUGUAAUUUGCAGAGGGCGCUUUGGUGUUGGCAGCGGUCCAAGUUCCUUGGAACAGGACGUCACAGAGGGUGAGAAUCCCGUACGUGGUCGCUGGCCUUCGCCGUGUAAAGCCCCUUCGACGAGUCGAGUUGUUUGGGAAUGCAGCUCUAAAUGGGAGGUAAAUUUCUUCUAAAGCUAAAUACUGGCCAGAGACCGAUAGCGCACAAGUAGAGUGAUCGAAAGAUGAAAAGCACUUUGGAAAGAGAGUCAAAUAGCACGUGAAAUUGUUGAAAGGGAAGCGCUUGCAGCCAGACUUGCCUGUAGUUGCUCAUCUAGGCUCUUUGCCUAGUGCACUCUUCUGCGGGCAGGCCAGCAUCAGUCUAGGCGGUUGGAUAAAGGCCUCUGUCAUGUACCUCCUCUCGGGGAGGCCUUAUAGGGGAGGCGUAAUGCAACCAGCCUGGACUGAGGUCCGCGCAUCUGCUAGGAUGCUGGCGUAAUGGCUGUAAGCGGCCCGUCUUGAAACACGGACCAAGGAGUCUAACAUCUAUGCGAGUGUUUGGGUGUCAAGCCCGAGCGCGUAAUGAAAGUGAACGGAGGUGGGAUCCCUUUAGGGUGCACCAUCGACCGAUCCUGAUGUCUUCGGAUGGAUUUGAGUAAGAGCAUGGCUGUUGGGACCCGAAAGAUGGUGAACUAUGCUUGAAUAGGGUGAAGCCAGAGGAAACUCUGGUGGAGGCUCGCAGCGGUUCUGACGUGCAAAUCGAUCGUCAAAUUUGGGCAUAGGGGCGAAAGACUAAUCGAACUAUCUAGUAGACUGGGUUCCUGCGAG
rnacentral:rRNA from 1 species